AUGAGGGUCAUUGAGCGCUUUGAAUCCCUCCACACUUCUGACCUCCAAUGGCUCAACUCCGCCAAUGUUGUUCUCCUUCCCAAAAAGGAGGGUGCGGAGGGCAUCUCCGACUACAGGCCCAUUAGUCUCAUCCAUGCCAUCACCAAAAUCACCACCAAGGUCCUCUCGCUCUGUCUUGCCCCUCACAUGGAUGGUCUAGUGUCCAACGCUCAAAGUGCGUUCAUCAAGAGGCAUAGCAUUCACCACAAUUUCAUGUACAUUAGAAACUUUGCUAGAAGACUUCACAGGUGUUAAACACCCGCCCUGAUUUUCAAACUG
rnacentral:rRNA from 1 species